rnacentral:rRNA from 1 species
CUUAAAGGAAUUGAGGGACCCCGCACAAGCGGUGGAUCAUGUGUUUAAUUCGAUGAUACGCGAAGAACCUUACCAGGUCUUGACAUCCCCCGCGAUGCUUUAGAGAUAAAGCGGAGGUAUUCGGGGAGACAGGUGGUGCAUGGUUUGUCGUCAGCUCGUGUCGUGAGAUGUUGGGUUAAGUCCCGCAACGAGCGCAACCCUAUUGCUAGUUACCAUCAUUAAGUUGGGGACUCUAGCGAGACUGCCAGUGAUAAACUGGAGGAAGGUGGGGAUGACGUCAAAUCAUCAUGCCCCUUAUGACCUGGGCUACAAACGUGAUACAAUGGCUGGAACAAAGGGAUGCGAAGCAGUGAUGUGGAGCGAAACCCAUAAAAACAGUCUCAGUUCGGAUUGAAGUCUGCAACUCGACUUCAUGAAGUCGGAAUCGCUAGUAAUCGCGGAUCAGAACGCCGCGGUGAAUACGUUCUCGGGGUUU